CCCAGACUCCUACGGGAGGCAGCAGUGGGGAAUAUUGGGCAAUGGGCGCAAGCCUGACCCAGCAACGCCGCGUGAAGGAAGAAGGCUUUCGGGUUGUAAACUUCUUUUAAGAGGGAAGAGCAGAAGACGGUACCUCUUGAAUAAGCCACGGCUAACUACGUGCCAGCAGCCGCGGUAAUACGUAGGUGGCAAGCGUUGUCCGGAUUUACUGGGUGUAAAGGGCGUGCAACCGGGAGUGCAAGUCAGAUGUGAAAGCCCGCGGCUCAACCGCGGAACUGCAUUUGAAACUGUGCUUCUUGAGUGCUGGAGAGGCAGACGGAAUUCCUAGUGUAGCGGUGAAAUGCGUAGAUAUUAGGAGGAACACCAGUGGCGAAGGCGGUCUGCUGGACAGUAACUGACGGUGAGGCGCGAAAGCGUGGGGAGCAAACAGGAUUAGAUACCCCCGUACU
rnacentral:rRNA from 1 species